AAAUAAUGCUGGGGUACGAUGCGGAGCGAAAUUUAGUAGCGAAGUAGCUGAUUUCACACUGUCGAGAAAAGUCUCUAUCGAUGUUAAAGGUGCCUGUACCGCAAACCGACACAGGUGGGUGAGGAGAGUAUCCUAAGGCCAGCGAGAGAACUGUUGUUAAGGAACUCGGCAAAAUGACCCCGUAACUUCGGGAGAAGGGGUGCCUUCGAAAGAAGGCCGCAGAGAAUAGGCCCAAGCGACUGUUUACCAAAAACAUAGGUUUCUGCUAAGUCGCAAGACGAUGUAUAGGAGCUGACGCCUGCCCGGUGCUGGAAGGUUAAGGGGAUCUGUUAGAGCAAUCGAAGCAGUGAACUUAAGCCCCAGUAAACGGCGGCCGUAACAAUAACGGUCCUAAGGUAGCGAAAUUCCUUGUCGGGUAAGUUCCGACCCGCACGAAAGGCGUAACGAUUCGGGCACUGUCUCAACAACAGACUCGGUGAAAUUGUAAUACCGGUGAAGAUGCCGGUUACCUGCGACAGGACGGAAAGACCCCAUGGAGCUUUACUGUAGCUUGACAUUGAGUCUCGGUGCUACAUGUACAGGAUAGGUGGGAGACUAUGAAGCAUGGACGUCAGUCUGUGUGGAGUCAUCCUUGGGAUACCACCCUUGUAGUACUGGGAUUCUAACCAGAGGCUAUGAAUCUGGUCUUGGGACACUGUCAGGUGGACAGUUUGACUGGGGCGGUCGCCUCCCAAAAAGUAACGGAGGCGCUCAAAGGUUCUCUCAGUACGGUCGGAAAUCGUACGAAGAGUGUAAAGGCAAGAGAGCUUGAUUGCAAGACAUACAGGUCGAGCAAGGACGAAAGUCGGACUUAGUGAUCCGGUGGUUCCGCAUGGAAGGGCCAUCGCUCAACGGAUAAAAGCUACCCUGGGGAUAACAGGCUGAUCUCCCCCAAGAGUCCACAUCGACGGGGAGGUUUGGCACCUCGAUGUCGGCUCAUCACAUCCUGGGGCUGUAGUAGGUCCCAAGGGUUGGGCUGUUCGCCCAUUAAAGUGGUACGCGAGCUGGGUUCAGAACGUCGUGAGACAGUUCGGUCCCUAUCCGUCGCAGGCGUAGGAAAUUUGAGGAGACCUGUCCUUAGUACGAGAGGACCGGGAUGGACGUACCGCUGGUGUACCAGUUGUUCUGCCAAGGGCAUGGCUGGGUAGCUAAGUACGGAAAGGAUAAGCGCUGAAAGCAUCUAAGCGCGAAGCCCACUCCAAGAUAAGAUUUCCACCGCAAGGUUAAGAUCCCAGGAAGACUACCUGGUUGAUAGGUCAGAGGUGUAAGUGCAGUAAUGUAUUUAGCUUACUGAUACUAAUAGAUCGAGGACUUGAUC
rnacentral:rRNA from 1 species